CCUACGGGAGGCAGCAGUGGGGGAUAUUGCACAAUGGGGGAAACCCUGAUGCAGCGACGCCGCGUGGGUGAAGAAGUAUUUCGGUAUGUAAAGCCCUAUCAGCAGGGAAGAAAGAAGACGGUACCUGACUAAGAAGCCCCGGCUAACUACGUGCCAGCAGCCGCGGUAAUACGUAGGGGGCGAGCGUUAUCCGGAUUUACUGGGUGUAAAGGGAGCGUAGACGGCAAUGCAAGCCAGGAGUGAAACCCCGGGGCUCAACCUCGGGCAUGCUCUUGGAACUGUAAAGCUAGAGUGCGGGAGGGGCAGGCGGAAUUCCUGGUGUAGCGGUGAAAUGCGUAGAUAUCAGGAGGAACACCGGCGGCGAAGGCGGCCUGCUGGACCGCGACUGACGUUGAGGCUCGAAAGCGUGGGGAGCGAACAGGAUUAGAUACC
rnacentral:rRNA from 1 species